rnacentral:rRNA from 1 species
UACAGAGGGUGCGAGCGUUAAUCGGAAUCACUGGGCUUAAAGCGUUCGUAGGCGGAUCUGUAGGCGCGUUGUGAAAGCCCUCGGCUCAACCGGGGAACUGCUUCGCGAACCACAGAUCUUGAGUCAAGUAGGGGCGAUCGGAACGAUAGGUGGAGCGGUGAAAUGCGUAGAUAUCUAUCGGAACGCCAAAGGUGAAGACAGGUCGCUGGGCUUGUACUGACGCUGAGGAACGAAAGCGUGGGGAGCAAACGGG